rnacentral:rRNA from 1 species
GGGUUGUGAGGUUAAGCGACUAAGCGUACACGGUGGAUGCCCUGGCAGUCAGAGGCGAUGAAGGACGUGCUAAUCUGCGAUAAGCGUCGGUGAGGUGAUAUGAACCGUUAUAACCGGCGAUUUCCGAAUGGGGAAACCCAGUGUGUUUCGACACACUAUCAUUAACUGAAUCCAUAGGUUAAUGAGGCGAACCGGGGGAACUGAAACAUCUAAGUACCCCGAGGAAAAGAAAUCAACCGAGAUUCCCCCAGUAGCGGCGAGCGAACGGGGAGGAGCCCAGAGCCUGAAUCAGUGUGUGUGUUAGUGGAAGUGUCUGGAAAGGCGCGCGAUACAGGGUGACAGCCCCGUACACAAAAAUGCACAUGCUGUGAGCUCGAUGAGUAGGGCGGGACACGUGGUAUCCUGUCUGAAUAUGGGGGGACCAUCCUCCAAGGCUAAAUACUCCUGACUGACCGAUAGUGAACCAGUACCGUGAGGGAAAGGCGAAAAGAACCCCGGCGAGGGGAGUGAAAAAGAACCUGAAACCGUGUACGUACAAGCAGUGGGAGCCUCUUAAUGGGGUGACUGCGUACCUUUUGUAUAAUGGGUCAGCGACUUAUAUUCUGUAGCAAGGUUAACCGAAUAGGGGAGCCGAAGGGAAACCGAGUCUUAACUGGGCGUUAAGUUGCAGGGUAUAGACCCGAAACCCGGUGAUCUAGCCAUGGGCAGGUUGAAGGUUGGGUAACACUAACUGGAGGACCGAACCGACUAAUGUUGAAAAAUUAGCGGAUGACUUGUGGCUGGGGGUGAAAGGCCAAUCAAACCGGGAGAUAGCUGGUUCUCCCCGAAAGCUAUUUAGGUAGCGCCUCGUGAAUUCAUCUCCGGGGGUAGAGCACUGUUUCGGCAAGGGGGUCAUCCCGACUUACCAACCCGAUGCAAACUGCGAAUACCGGAGAAUGUUAUCACGGGAGACACACGGCGGGUGCUAACGUCCGUCGUGAAGAGGGAAACAACCCAGACCGCCAGCUAAGGUCCCAAAGUCAUGGUUAAGUGGGAAACGAUGUGGGAAGGCCCAGACAGCCAGGAUGUUGGCUUAGAAGCAGCCAUCAUUUAAAGAAAGCGUAAUAGCUCACUGGUCGAGUCGGCCUGCGCGGAAGAUGUAACGGGGCUAAACCAUGCACCGAAGCUGCGGCAGCGACACUGUGUGUUGUUGGGUAGGGGAGCGUUCUGUAAGCCUGCGAAGGUGUGCUGUGAGGCAUGCUGGAGGUAUCAGAAGUGCGAAUGCUGACAUAAGUAACGAUAAAGCGGGUGAAAAGCCCGUUCGCCGGAAGACCAAGGGUUCCUGUCCAACGUUAAUCGGGGCAGGGUGAGUCGACCCCUAAGGCGAGGCCGAAAGGCGUAGUCGAUGGGAAACAGGUUAAUAUUCCUGUACUUGGUGUUACUGCGAAGGGGGGACGGAGAAGGCUAUGUUGGCCGGGCGACGGUUGUCCCGGUUUAAGCGUGUAGGCUGGUUUUCCAGGCAAAUCCGGAAAACCAAGGCUGAGGCGUGAUGACGAGGCACUACGGUGCUGAAGCGACAAAUGCCCUGCUUCCAGGAAAAGCCUCUAAGCAUCAGGUAACAUCAAAUCGUACCCCAAACCGACACAGGUGGUCAGGUAGAGAAUACCAAGGCGCUUGAGAGAACUCGGGUGAAGGAACUAGGCAAAAUGGUGCCGUAACUUCGGGAGAAGGCACGCUGAUAUGUAGGUGAAGCGACUUGCUCGUGGAGCUGAAAUCAGUCGAAGAUACCAGCUGGCUGCAACUGUUUAUUAAAAACACAGCACUGUGCAAACACGAAAGUGGACGUAUACGGUGUGACGCCUGCCCGGUGCCGGAAGGUUAAUUGAUGGGGUUAGCGGCAACGCGAAGCUCUUGAUCGAAGCCCCGGUAAACGGCGGCCGUAACUAUAACGGUCCUAAGGUAGCGAAAUUCCUUGUCGGGUAAGUUCCGACCUGCACGAAUGGCGUAAUGAUGGCCAGGCUGUCUCCACCCGAGACUCAGUGAAAUUGAACUCGCUGUGAAGAUGCAGUGUACCCGCGGCAAGACGGAAAGACCCCGUGAACCUUUACUAUAGCUUGACACUGAACAUUGAGCCUUGAUGUGUAGGAUAGGUGGGAGGCUUUGAAGUGUGGACGCCAGUCUGCAUGGAGCCGACCUUGAAAUACCACCCUUUAAUGUUUGAUGUUCUAACGUUGGCCCCUAAUCGGGGUUGCGGACAGUGUCUGGUGGGUAGUUUGACUGGGGCGGUCUCCUCCUAAAGAGUAACGGAGGAGCACGAAGGUUGGCUAAUCCUGGUCGGACAUCAGGAGGUUAGUGCAAUGGCAUAAGCCAGCUUGACUGCGAGCGUGACGGCGCGAGCAGGUGCGAAAGCAGGUCAUAGUGAUCCGGUGGUUCUGAAUGGAAGGGCCAUCGCUCAACGGAUAAAAGGUACUCCGGGGAUAACAGGCUGAUACCGCCCAAGAGUUCAUAUCGACGGCGGUGUUUGGCACCUCGAUGUCGGCUCAUCACAUCCUGGGGCUGAAGUAGGUCCCAAGGGUAUGGCUGUUCGCCAUUUAAAGUGGUACGCGAGCUGGGUUUAGAACGUCGUGAGACAGUUCGGUCCCUAUCUGCCGUGGGCGCUGGAGAACUGAGGGGGGCUGCUCCUAGUACGAGAGGACCGGAGUGGACGCAUCACUGGUGUUCGGGUUGUCAUGCCAAUGGCACUGCCCGGUAGCUAAAUGCGGAAGAGAUAAGUGCUGAAAGCAUCUAAGCACGAAACUUGCCCCGAGAUGAGUUCUCCCUGAGACUUAGAGUCUCCUGAAGGAACGUUGAAGACGACGACGUUGAUAGGCCGGGUGUGUAAGCGCAGCGAUGCGUUGAGCUAACCGGUACUAAUGAACCGUGAGGCUUAACCUUACAACGCCGAAG